UUAAAACAUGUAUCACAACAAGAUGUCUUGACAUGUUGAUCAGACAUCUUUGUAGGUUUUGUUUUACUUCUUGGAAGACUUACUUUAUCAUGAGAUCUCUGAAGAUUCUUUGAAUAUUCAUCUACCAUACCUGACUAUCCAAGAAGGUUUAUUUGAGGAACUCUUGUUUCGUUUCCAGCUGUGCACUUGGUUCAUAAAAAGGGAUGAUCAGACAUUUUAGGAAAUAAGUGAUCUUGUUCCUGAUUUUAUGUAGAAGAUUCUGCAGACUUUAUGUAUUAGUCCAGAUUGGAUGUAUUACAGUUUUAAGCCUAAGCGCACGCAUUCCAAAGGCUAUUUAAAGAGAAUGUUGCUAACCUAAUUUACAGAAGAGAGAGAUACGCUUGAUGAUUAUGAAAUUAGGGUUUUAGUGUUCUUUGUUAUUUGUGAGUCACUCUAAUAUCUCAUUGAUAUUAGAGUUGGAUUGUGUCUUUGUAUUGUAAUUGUCAAUCACUCAUGAGCUUUUAAGCAAGAAUGGAUUAUAUAUUUUGGAAGAGUGUCUUCUAUUAUUUGAUUAAAGUCAUUAUCACUGUGUGUGAUUGAACGGAAGUGAUAGGGGUCUCAUAUCUAGGAGGGUCAUAGAUAAAAAUAACACGGGUAAUGAUUAGGUGUGAAGAUUGUAAACAAGAGGGUGUUUACUGAGGUCUUCAAACUAAUAAUAUUUUAGUGGAUUUACUUCCUGGCUUGGAUGCCCCCAGAUGUAGGUGAAGUUGCACCAAAUUGGGUUAACAAUCAUUUAUGUUAUUUACUUUCAGCAGUGUAUUUUAACAUCCCUAAUACUAUUGUUCUGUGAAGUUCUGAUAUUAGUGUCGUAACAUCGCAUACGACAUCUGAUAUAUGAAUACCAGAAUUUCAGUUAUAAGCUUCCUUGAGACCGAGGGUUCUUGAAUUCGUGUGUUUCCAAGCCCGUAAAUCAUCCAAACCAGUAUCAAGAUUAGGGAUGUAAAUAUUUUGAACUUGCUUUUGUAACAUAGGGAUGCAAGGUUGAAUGCAGUGACAAAUACUCCAAGUAUUGUUAGAGAUGGUGUCUUUUACCUUAGCAUUUAGCUUGAGCUAUAAAUUAUGAGGAAUAUUGAUGAGAUCUCCUAAAGAGCCUGCACCCUAAUCAUCCACCUAAAGGUUGAUCCUAACACCUGUUCCCACUAUCCAUUUUGAGUUUGAAAAGAAUAGUGUGGAAUUUUUUGUUUAAUACUAGUCCAAAUUAAAGAGAAUAUAUGGUGAUUAAUGUAGUGACCAUUUCUCUAAAUUCUAGAUAAAAGGAAGAUGGCCCAUUUACAAUUGGAAUUCAUUAGCUCCCAACCCAAUUUGAUAUUUGUAGCAUCAUUGAGAGAGACCAAAGACCCGAGUCCCAGACCCCCAUGUUGGAGAAUAAACAUUUUUCCAUGAAACAAUUACUAACUUUUUUUGCUUCAUGUCCCCACUCCAAGCAAAAAUCCUAAAAUGUCUACCCAGAUCAUGCAGAAGAGUAGUAGACUAGGAAUAUGUAGUAAUAUAAUAAGGUCGCAUGCUAUAAAUAACACUUUUAAGUAAUUGGAUUCUACCAACAAAUGUCUGAAGAGGUGCUUUCCAAGAGGAAAGCUUUUUUCAAAAUCAUAUACACAACAAGUUGAAAUGAAUGGGUUUGGGCCUCCCUUUGAAGAUAGGAACUCCUAGGUAUGUAAAGGGAAUAGAACCAAUGGAAAAACAAAAAUAAGAAGUAAUGUUAAGCAGCUUGGUACGAGGCGUUGAUCCUCCAAAAACUGAAGACUUAAUAGGAUUAAUGAGUUGACCUGAAAUUUAACCAUAUUUGUCGAAGAAAUCAGCUAGAGCAAGGAGAUUAGAGGGUGUAACAGUACAAAAGAUCAUGAAAUCAUAUGAAUAUAAGACAUGAGAUUGGACAUGAUUCUUCCUAGUUCCUUUAAUGAGCUUGAGAUUUCCAGAGUUGACAAGGUUGGUGGUACUCCGACUCAAAACUUCCCCAGCUAUACAGAAUAUGAGAGUAGACAAGGGGUACCCUUGUCAGACCCCUAUGGCACAAGCAAACAAGCCUUCUUGUUUUCCAUUAACAAAGAUAGAAAGCAUGGUAGACCUAAGAAUAAUGGAUAUCCAGUUAAAAAAUUUAUCCUUAAAGCCAAAGGAUUUGAAAAAUUUUACGAUAAAAUUUCAAUCCAUUGUAUCAAAAGCUUUAGCUUUAUCAAUUUUAGGAGCAGAUUGAUAGCCUCUGAAGUGAUAAAAUAUUUAUGGUGGACCAGAUUAAUAGCCUCUGAAGUGAUAAAAGAAUAGUCCUUAAUUUGUCCCUUGUGUAUGAAACCUCUUUGUUCUUCAGAAAUGAUACCAGGGAUAAUGAGAACAAGUUUAUCCACCAAGACCUUAGAUAUAAUUUUAAACUUGAAGUUGGCCAUGACUAUAGGUCUAAACUGAGGUAGAGUGUCUGCAUUUGAUGAUUUAGGGAUAAGAACAACAUUGUUGGCAUUGUAAUGAGGAGGAACCAUACCUGAAGUAAAGAAUUUCAGACUAGCAUUGCAAACAUCAUCAUGUAUAAAAAAAAUUGCUGGAAAAAAGAAACCACCAAAACCACCUGGCCAUGGGGAACUAUUGGUGUUGAGGUUGAAAACUGCUUGUCUUAUUUCCUCCAUGGAAUGAAGCAAUGUGAUGGCAUUGUUUAUAAUAUAAUUAAUCAAACAGGGAAUGAUGUCUUCAAUAAUACCAUUAUUAUGAGUACCCCCACUUCAAGAAAAGAGGUUAGUGAAGUGGGAAACCACCUGAUCAACAUAGAACAUAAAAGCCUUAUAGUGAUAUGUUCAGUUGAAACAUACAAUGCACUCAGGCCAAACUUGAUUCCAUUGCCAAGGAAAGUGAAAGAAAUUUGUUAAGCAUCACAAGAGAUGAUUAUGGGAUCUAUACUCUUGUUGUAGAUACACCAAACGUUAGGUAAGAAAUCAUGUCUGAUGUUUGUAACAAAGACUAUUAGACCAAGUCUAUCAAACCAAAGAGACUGGAAAUUUUAAAUGUUCAUCCCAGGCUCGACAAUAAAGAAAAAGUUAGGUUUAUAGGUGGUGAUUAACUUCUUAAGGGCCAACUUUGUGGGAGAGUUGGCCAGAUCCAUGAGGUUCCAGUAUAUGUACUUCAUUUCCUGUUUUUUGAAAAAACAACUUUGGAUCUAGUUCUAUAAGAAAAUUUACCAGUGUUACCCUUAGUUUUUCUUUUGGAUUUAACCUUCUAGAAUGGUUCCUAAGGGCUGAGGUAUUCUUGGAAAGAGUCAAUAGAUCCCUUAGGGUCAGGUGUUGAGAGACUGUUAGAGCUAUUUGAGUUUUCAAUGGGAUCUUCCACUUCUUGGUCCUGGUUAGCUAAAUGGGCUCAAGAAUUUUUUAGGAAAGCUACAUCCUUGCUAAUUCUGACUGGUGUGUGAAACAAUUUUGAGAUUUCAAGACUCUUGCCUAUGUUUGGAGAGGAAUUAUGUGCCUCAAUUAUUUCAUCACUACCCAUGAAGUCAUUUAGGGGUAGCAUCCACAAAUCCCGAGGUGGAGGAUGAAUUAUCUUCUAAAGGUUUAGGGGAUUGGUUUAGCAAAGGCUCAAGUUCUAUAUCAAAAGAAUUUCAUGUUGACUUAGCCUUUGUUGGUAUAGGUAUGAUAGGAUUCUCUACAUAAUUAUCCCUUGAAAUUCCCUCUCAAAAGUAAAGUUAUCAGAAAUUUGGUUAACAUUUCCAUUGUGCAAGCAUACAUGCAUAUGUUUAACUGCUAAAAUGUAACCUAACAUUAUUCUCUAAAAUCAAACAACCUACAUACAUUUUUUUACACGAACUACAAAGCUAUGACUUUCUCAUUGCACUGUGAGAAUAUGUAGGCACGUGGUUUUGAAAUCUUGGCAAGCACAAUAAGAAAAAACUAACAUUUUCCUCUUUUACCUUUUUUUGUAAAUGUCUUUUAACAAACAAACAUUUCAAACAUUCCUUCAAAAACACUUAAUCCUAGUCUAUUAGGAGGUUCUCGUUAAGUCAACUGAUGCAAGGGGUGCUAAAACCUCCCCCUCGCAUAACCGACUCACGAACCUGAUUUUGUUGCGAUGACCAUCUUAUCCUCUUUUCUUAGGGUUUUAUCGUUAUUUUUCCUCUCCUUAGGAAUAAAUUAAAUUCGGUGGAGACUCUUUUAGUCAUCCGCGAGCGUGUGAUAUGCUCGUAAAUUCGUAUUUUUCGAGAUUCGACAACUGGGGACUCUGCUGGAGACAUUUCCCUGAAGAGAGUCAAGCAUAUCCUUUUAGUUCUAGGGUUGUUGGUUUGUUUGAUUGUUUUUUGUUUUAUUUAUUUAUUGCUUUAUUUUUAUCUUUUUCUUCUCUAUUUUUAUCUUGUACUUAUUUAUCAUUGUGGGUUUUGAUUAUUGUUUGAGAAUAAGCUCUACACUCGAGCUCGAGAAGAAACAUAAGCUUAAGUAAGGGUUUUUUCAUAUUUUGGCCAAUGGGAUGCACAUCCCAAAGGGUUUUUAACAAAAGCUCUGCCUAGAGUAGAUUAGUUCAGAGAUUUUGUUGUGAGUUGGCUAGCCCAUCUUCGUGACGAAACUUUUAACUUGAUCCAUGACUUUAGGGACCUCUUCUAAAACCCGAACAUGGUGAUUUCGUAUGGCCUAAAAGUCCUAUACAAAGGCUCUUCCUAAGGGAGACCCUUUGGAAUUUUAUCAUAAAUUAGGCUGAGCCCAAUAUCUUGAUGAAGUUUCAUAUGUGGUCCAUGAUCUUGCGUUUGUUCUUAAACAACCAACAAAAUCCUAAAGCCAUCCUUAUGAGGGGAUUGGGUAUUAAAGAUUUAGAAUCGAACUAUCAUAGGGAGCCUUCCUAAAUAAGGUGUUAUUAUAUCCUCCACUAUCCCUAAAUCCGUAUGUGUUUUCUUAUGCUAGUUACUAUCUUAAACCCGCAUGUGACACAUACCUUGCAUCUGCAUAAAAAAACUCUUAACAAACCUAGAAAACGAAACAUAAAAUAUUUUUGCAUACCCAAGCAUUUUCAUGAAUCCUCAUACGUACACAUGCAUUUGCAUAUCAUAAAAGGAAAACUCAUAUUUCUUCCCCUUCUCCAAGCUGAUCUGCGAUAGCUGAUUUCCUGAUACUCACGAGCGAAUUCAAAGCAUGUCUCAAUAAGUUAUGGAGGAACUCAAGAGAGGCCAGAAAUUAUUGAAAGAAGAGGUUUGUAACACCCUAAACCUCAAGACUUAUAAAUAAAGUAUUUAACGGAAAUUCAAGGUGUCACUACGAUAAUCCUUCAAAAACUCAUCAAAAUCACUUGAACUACGCAACGAAAAAACUUGUUCAACACACUUCAUAAAUAAGUUAUAAACUUCAAAAUAACAAAAAGCAACAACAAAUUAAAAAAUAUAAUAAAUCUCCUCCCCGAUGUUACACGAUCGGAGCAAUAAACCACUAGUAUUAUUAAAAAUUAAAUGUAAAAGCGAAGAGUAGCUCCAUCUUGUUCUUGAUUGGGUGUACAUGUUGUUAUGAACAUGUGUGAGGCUAUGAAAUUGUUGAUUUUGUAAUGAAUGUGUGCUUAUUGUAUGAACAAUCAGUUGUAUAUCCAAUCAUGUAUGAAAAUGUAAUCCACAACUGACUCGUUAUGCAUGUGGUACCAUUCAUGAACACUCAGGUUCAUCUCGCUCCCGAUCUCCACCAUAGGACCAGAGCACACCAAAUUGUUACCAUGAUCAUAGGUAAUGCUUCACCAACUCUCACAUGGAAUCAACUACUCGCUUCUAAUCAACACCACUAAACAAGAGCACACCGUAACUGGAUUAAAGUUCGUACACCAUGAUGCAUGACUCUCAACAACAUGCAUUAUCAACAAAAGGUUUACCAAAAGAAUCACCAUGUGUAUCUCACCAUUUAUGGACAACAUCAUUCAUCAUACGCAACAGUUAAUCAAUGUCAUGACAUCAAUAAACAAUGACAAACAACAGAAACUCAAUAAAUGUAACUUCAUACGCAUUCAUUCAUGUUACUUUACCAAAACAAUAACACAUCAUUAUAUAAACAUAACAAUUUGCUGACUGAUUAUACAAGUCAGCACAAACAUUGACACAUUAGACACUUGAUUAUAAUUCAAACAAUUCAACAAGCACUACCAUGAGGUAGCUAUGCGUCAUAGGGUGACAAUACAACAAAAUCAAAAACAUAAUUUUACACAAUUUUGCCUAAGAUAAUCGAUUGUCAUAGGGUGACAAUCGAUUGUUAUCAAGAGGAUUUCGCUAUUGACUUAUCAAAACUCACAUUUUUAAGCCAUACGAUCGAUUAAUCAAAUGGUGUAAUCAAUUGUAAUGUUAAUUUUUUUUCAAAAUUUGAACUAGUGCAAUCGAUUGUCAUUUGGUGACAAUCGAUUGUCACUACAUCUUUUUCCAAAAAACCUAGUUUUCAUCAUACGUUCAUCAUCCCCUCAUCCUUAAACCUUAAUACAUGACUCCAACUAAUUUUUCCCAAAUCAAUUAAUCUAAACACGAAUUUAAUAGUGAAUCAUGUUAUUACAACCACCAACCUAUUACAACACUUGUACUCAUCAUGAUUCGUAAUAAUUCAUCAAAAAUUUAAUGGAUAAUUUUAUCAACAACCAUGUACACAACCCAAACACUUAAACCUUCACCAAUGGAAAAUUUAUACAUAGAUAUUCAUAUUAUUCAAACAUAGAUUUAGUCAUAACAACACAUAUAAACACAAGAUCAACCAAUAAAUCUCUGAAAUUUCAUCAUACAACAAUUCAUCAAAAAAAUCCUAAAAACCCUAAUAAGAGUAAGGAUCUCUCUUCUCUACCCCGUCAUUCAAUACACACAUAUUGAUAGCCCUUUCUCCCCCCUUAUCAUAGAUUUCCAUCAAUGAUGAUGAAUUGAACAACUCCCAUGAAUUCUUCUUCCCAAUCUUAACUCUCAUUCCCAAAAGCCUUGUUCUUAUUGCCUCUUGUUUUGACGUACUGCCAGAUUCUCUAAAAAACUAGAUUCUCUCCUAACUUUUAGAAUAUAUAUAGUAACCUUAUUACUUUUGCUUAAUUAUUAUUAUUGCCCAAAUUGACUCUAACUUCUCUCCUCUUACCACAAACUUUCCUCAAUUCACACAAAUGACCUAAAACUCCAAUUUCACCAAAUUUCUCAUUUUAUUAUUAAGAAUAAUUAAAAUUCCAAUCAUUCUAAUUAUUUUCUAAUUUAUUCUACCUUAUCACCACACCUUACUAUUACUAUCACACCUCAAUAACAUAUAAUCAUAUAUUUUAUUUUAAAUCAUACCAACAUCAAAUAUUUAAAUAAAAUAAAUCACACGAUACCACUUGAUCCUCCACCUCGUUGAUAUCCUCCCAGUUAUGUCGAGAAUGCUAGAUGUUAAUACCAUGCUGGUUCACAGGGGCAUACAGUGUAAAAUUGCAGGGCUCUUAAACACAAGGUCCAAAACCUGAUCGACGAAAAGAAGUUAACUUUCGAAGGAGGAAUCCCAUUGGUGAACAGUCAUCACUUACUUUUACAAGUGCAAGAACGUCAAUAAGCAUAUCCUAAAUUCAGUGGGUAAAUAAGGAAGCUCUUCCCUAGGAUCAUUAUGAUUUUUCCAAUUGUAAUUUCUUUCUUGUUAAGUAUUGUUUGUUUUUAAAUUUAUACUCUUUGAUCAAUAAUUUCAAUAAGAUGAGCAUGCAUGAUUUUGGAAUUAAUCCUUUCGUAUUCACUCUUUCUUUUGCCAUCACUCGCCAUGUACAAUGUUUUUUCUAUUUUGACAUGUUAACAAACUUAGAAGGAGAAUUAUGUAAAUGAAAUAACCGAAUUUUCUUAUGUAUGUUUUUAUUAGUAAGAUCUAGAUGAUGAUGUAAGGCAUUGUUUCACUUCCCAAACACUGGAGAAAUAAGGAGAUAAUCCGUAGUCAACCCCUUUGAGCCUGAGGUCAGUGUUCUUUCUAUUUAUAAAAAACAUUAAUCUUAACUAGAGGCAAGGUAGAUUUUAAUUAAUUCGAUGAUUCAUUCUAAUCUCAAGAGAACCAUUCCCUCUAAUCACCUCAAUAAGAGUUCCAAAGCACAUCUUAUCCCUCACACAUGUCAUCCAACAUCGAGGAAGUUGUGAAAAGAUAAAAAUAAAAAUAGUUAAUAUGGCAGUCACAACCUUUCUGAAUCAAAUGCAAAAUCUCACAAGAAUUGUUCCAAAAUGAAGUGAGGGAAAAACAAGAAAGGGGGGGGGGGGGGGUUUGAAUUGUUUUGGAAAAUAAGCGCUUUUUCAGAAAAAAGACCACACAAGAAUUAUACUGGUUCGCUUAUAACACAAAGCUACUCCAGUCCACCCGACCAAGUGAUUUCGCCUUCAACAAGGACUUAAUCCACUAAUCUUGAAAGAUUAUUACAACCAACGUCUAAGAGAAAGAUCUCUUAGUCCUCUCAAUGUAUACAGAUUGCGCAGAGUCACUUGAGGAAUUAAAACAAUUUGAAGUAAAUACAGAAAUUGUAAUCUAGAGAGCUUCUAGGAAAGCAAUAUUACAACAGUAAGAGCAAUAGAAUGUUCACGUUCUGAGCAAAAGCUCGUGAAGAUUGAGAGAGAGAGAGAGAGAGAGACGGCGAGAGAGAGAGAGAGGAGAGAGAGAGAGAAGAGAAUAUUGUUGGAGUGUUCGGGUCUCUCAAUGCAGUUUGCUGUCCUUUAUAUAGAGGAAAGGACCGUUGAUUUGAUGGCAGAUAUUUUUGUCUUGAUUAGAAAUUAAUGUCAUAACUUUGUUUUUCUUGCCAAAACAACUUUGUCUCCCUGAAUAACUUCUUUCAAAAAUAGUUUCUUUCCAUUGAAGUUGAAGUUGCCGUUACUCUUUCUGGAUAAGGAGAUCCAUUAUCAGAGUCUGCGUUACUCUGUUAGACUGAGAUCUUGAGAUGUGGCUUCAGAGCUUCUGAUAGUCCUCAUCUUUAGAUUUCCAGUGUUGACUUCAGAUGAUCUUAAGAUUUCUGGAGUUCUGAUGUACCGUUGCUUAGAGUCAGAACUUCUAGAUCGCGCUUCUUCUUCAGAUGCUUCUGAUAUUCUGAUAUGCUGUUUUGUUCAGAGUCAGAGUUUCUAGAGCGCGUUUUUACUACAGAUGCUUCUGUUCUUCUGAUAAUUUGUAUCUGAUUUGAUUCUAUAUCUGAUGACGCAAUCAGAUUCCUUUCUUCUUGUUUAGAGUCUUGCACACUUAGAAACUUUUCGUUAGAGUGCCAUUUUUGGUUUCAUCCUUUGUUAUCAUCAAAAUCCUAGAAUCUGUUGUAGAACAAUUUUUGUUCUUACAACAAAAAAAGUGUCAGCUAAGUCAAAAAAACCUGAAAAGGUUGACUGAGGCAAAAGUUAGGGCACCCUGAUGGACCGCAAAUUCAAAAGAACCGGUUCAUGCAAAAAUGGGGAUAAAAAUAAAAAAAGAAAAAAUGGAAACAAGCUUGAAAAUGAAAGUAGGUGACUGCCACCUCAAGAAUCUCACCAGUGCUUUAACCAUUAUAUCUACCUCAAUCAUCAUGACUACCAAAAUUCUCUUGCCGGCAGAAUGCAUCCUUUGAGUUAGUUGGAUUUAGGAAUGGCGGAGAUUAAAGGAGAAAAGGUGUGUUAAAUCUAAUUUUGAGCCUUAUAUCUUCUUCUUUUUUCAUAAACCUUGAACCAAGUCACUCUACAACCUUUAAAAGACCUAAUUGAAGUUAGGUUCAUUAUGAAAGCAUACUCAUAGAAAUUGUUGUUAAAUUGACUCCAAAUGUUUGUUAAAUCAUCGUUAAGAACAUUGUCUUACCAUAAUUUUACAUCUUCAUUUGUGCCAACCUCGUGGACAAAUAUCAUCCUUUAUAUAGGUUACAUUUAUUAUCCGUAACAAUUUUAGAUUUCAAAACCUGCACGAGCAUUGUGUUAUAAUUACUUUUCAAAAGGAACAAUUUUACUUGUAAAUCAAUACUUAACAUCGAGGAAAUUUCAACAAUGGUCUGAUCAGAGGCAUACCGCUUUAAAACACUUUUGGCUAAGGGAAAAUCAUAUAGGGAUCCUACCGGUCAGAAGCAAAUCCUUAUAAUCAUGGGCAGACCAUCUGAAGAUCUUGUUGAUUAGGGGGAAAUAUCAAGAAUUGGCCAACCUAGGUCAAAUCACGUCCAAACCCUAAUGAUCAGGGGAAAACCUUUCAAGAUUCAAAUACUAGGGCAAUCUAUAUCAGGAUCAUAUCACAACAUGGUUGGAUCCAAGUUCUUUUUUAGGCAACUCCUUCAAAGAACCUACCAAUAGGGGAAAAGACAAGGUACUGCAGGGGAAAAUGCUCUCUAUACUUUCAAGUUGCUCAAGCAGACUUUGUCGUACACCAGCGACCAUCGAGUUUAACAUGAGUGUCGAAGGUCAUGCUAGCACAACACCCUUCCACCUUUUGACAAACAAUCUUGUUUCACAAACAACCUCUCUAAGCCUUAAUAGUCCACGUCCCACCUUGGGGGAACUUUUUGACACAUUCAAUUCAUCGCAUAAAACAUCAUCAUGCAUCAAUAAUGUUUGCAUUUCUCUAGCAUCAAACCAUAAAUAUUAUCCCAUUCAUCGAGCAUCUCCCAAAGUAUGAAUCUGACAUCAUCAAAAAGUCUUACAACAUAAACAUCUGCAAAAAUCCCAACCUCACUUGGUAUUCACCUCAAAAGUCCAACCUUGAUUGUCACCCCACAAAAGCUCAACUUUGCUUGGCAUCCCAUAAAAACCUAAUAUUGCUUUGCACCUCACAAAAGACUACUCUUGUCUAGCACCUCACAAAAGUCUAAUCUUGCUUGACACCCAACAUUUACAAUUAAAGAUCCCGACCUCACUCGACGCCUCAAAAUCCAAGAGCCCGACCUCGCUCGACACAUCUAAAAAAAUCCAAAGAGUUUAUUUUCUUUGUAUUCUUUAUACACCUCUGAUUGUAUAUCAAGUGUAUUACCCCCCACCCCCNCAUUUAUCUGUUACGUUGAUUGUUAGAAGUCUCUUACUAAGUGUUUGAGCAUUUGAAGUCUCUUUCUUGUGUGUUGUAGCAUUGAAAGUCUUUUGUUUGUGUGCUUGAGCAUAUAAGUCUCUUACUUUUGUGUUUGAGCAUUGAAAGUCUCUUGCUUAUGUGCUUGAGCAAAUUGAAAUCUUGUGUGAUUAUAGUGAAAAUAUCUUGUAAGUACAAGGGGACUGGAUUACUCUCAAAUUAUGAGAGGAACCAGGAUAACCCUGCGUGUCACUCUUCUUUCAUGCAAUGCAUAUCCAUUGCCUACCUCUAAUUGUUUCAGAUUCUAUACGUUGUGUUUAGGAUCUGACCAAAGAGUUUAAAAAGAAAGAAAAAGUAAACACAAUUCAACUCCCCUUUCUUGUGUUUUUCUCACAUUCAGAAUUAAGGCAGUGUGUUAAGAAUAUUUUUGGUAAUUCAAGUGCUAUAAUCGGUUAACACGGGGUGUAACCAGUUACGACAAAACAAAAGUCACUUAUGAGCUGAAGAAACAAGGAAAGCAUCGUGGGUGUAAUCAGUUAAUGUAAUUACGUAACCGGUUACCACUGAAAGAUAAUUAUUUUUUGUAGCAGCUGGUAGAAUCGGUUAUAGAUUUAGUGUAACCGAUUACAAGUACGAGUUUUUCAUUUUUUUUAGUUAUUUGCUUAUGUAACAUGUAUUUCAAUCAUUGUGUAAUUUUUGUAUAAAUGCCUUGACGGCAUUCUCAUCAAUGUUAAUGUCAAAUAUUCUCGCCCUCAAUUAUCUUUUUCUCUCCACACUUUAAUCUCUCCAUUAUUCACCAAUCUUGUGGUUCUAAAUUCUAACAAUUGAGUUAUUGGUGAAGUCAAUUUUGUUCUUGAGCAAUAAAGCUUGCUUCUUGGAUUUGUUCCAACUAUGAUAAUUUGAAUCGUUGAACGAUGGUGACGCCGAGGUUUUCACAGGAGGUGAAGGUAAUAGGGGCUGCAGGUAUCGCAUGAGCGAUAAAAUGGAUUGCUAUAAUUGGGGUUCCCGAGGAAGAAUCAAAAUCUUUGGAAGAAGAUCAAAUAAGAUGAAGAAUGAUUAGUAAAUUUCAGAAUUUGGUUUUGUAGAAUAGGAAAGGUUUACAUUCAUACUAUAUUACUGACAGAUAAUAAAAAGAUUGCAAGGCAAACGUGAAUGUUUGUAUUCAUCCACUAUUGGCAAGAAAUCUUGAAUUAAACGUUUAAGCUACAAGCUGCACACAUGCUCCACAUAUAUAGCGUUGGUGUAACAGAUUGAUAGAAUAUAGAAAUUGAUAAAACUAACCAACUUCCUAACUGUCAAACUAGACUUUCUAACCGAUUUACAUUCAAUCACUUUUAUUUUUAAAGUACAUAUAUAAAUACAUUAGUGUUAAUAUCGUGUCUGAUGUUUGUUGUUGUGGUUCAUAGUACACGAGUCUCUUUGCGAUGCCUUUUCGUUGUUGCUUGUGUGUCUUUCUCAACUUGAUAUUCUAAUAAGCUCAUCAUAUCUUCUUCCAUCGCUUCAUUUUCUUCUUCGUCUUCUUCGUCAACCACAUUCUCUAUUUCCUCAGGUUCUUCCUCUUCCACUCGAUCUCGAUCAACAAUAUCCUUACCCAAACCAAUGUUUUCUUCCAUUAUAAUAUCACUUUUUCUCUUUUUUUCACCACCCAUCAACUCAUAAGAAUUUUUCAUCCAAAAUUGAAACCCUUUCCUUCCAAGUACUUUGGUUUCAUGUGAGUGUUUGAGUUGGUAUAACAACCAAAUGGCAGCAGCUAUUAAAGUAAACACUUUAAGACCUUGUUUUACCUUGUAGCCAUUUGUCCUCAUGUUUCUGUUAGGUGAUUGCUUCAACAUCUUGUACUCUUAAAUUUCUCUUGCAAAUAAAGAAAAAAUAAAUAAUUAAAAAUUCAACAUAACAUGCAUAUAUUUCUAAAAUAUGUAUUAGAUGUAGGAAAAAAGAAGAAGAUAAAAUUGAUAUAUACAGUGUUAUAUACUGUGUCAUGUCAUGAUAUUAAAAUAAUUAAAACAAAGAAAAAAAAUAUCUUUGAUUGGUGAAUCAUGAAUGAAUGUUCUGUAACUUCCAAACAACAAGUUACUAGCAUGUCAGAAAAAUAUCAACAUAUUUCCAGGCCUUAUUUGAGUGAAUACAAACUUUUCCAGAUUGUACCUAAAUAAAUACAGUACUACUACUUUUUAUGUUCAACCAAGAUUUAGAAGUAAUAAAAAUCUAUUUUUGUAAACUCUCAUAUUUCACUUUUAUAGCUAGGUUAAAAACAUUACUCUCAUUCUUUUAUCUUAAGAAGACUCAUUAUUUUAGUGUCUAUUCUAUGCAAAGAGAGGAUAUUCUCAUCACAUAAUCUAUGACUAAUGAACAUCUGCAAUGGUUUAUUAUCUUAGAAGUGAAAAAUUGAAAAGAAGACACAAACAACCUAAAAAUCUUAAAUGAGAAUGAG
rnacentral:lncRNA from 1 species